rnacentral:rRNA from 1 species
GACGAACGCUGGCGGCGUGCCUAAUACAUGCAAGUCGAGCGAGCGGCGGACGGGUGAGUAAUGUAUGGGGACUGCCCGCUAGAGGGGGAUAACUACUGGAAACGGUGGCUAAUACCGCCUACUGUCGGAUAACCCAUAUGGGUUUAGCUAGUAGGUAAGGUAAUGGCUUACCUAGGCGACGAUCCCUAGCUGGUCUGAGAGGAUGAUCAGCCACACUGGGACGGAGACACGGCCCAGACUCCUACGGAGGCAGCAGUGGGGAAUAUUGCACAAUGGGCGCAAGCCUGAUGCAGCCAUGCCGCGUGUAUGAAGAAGGCCCUAGGGUUGUAAAGUACUUUCAGUCGGGAGGCGUUACCGACAGAAGAAGCACCGGCUAACUCCGUGCCAGCAGCCGCGGUAAUAC